AUGCUAAUCAGGCCGCCAAGGAUGCGGCUAAGGUCGCUGAUGAGGCUGCUGAUCGUGCCUAUGAUGAGAGGGCUCUGGCUUAUGAGGAGGCUCUUCAGACGUAUCAUGGUGCUUUGUCUGUUUACACCCAGUGGCUUGAUGAUGAUGCUCGUGCUGCCGCUGUUCUCACUGCUAGUGUUCUGCCUCAGUUUGCUUCUGAGUUUCUGGGUCUUCCUACUGUCUUCCAGAUGUGGACCUGUCUUCAUCAGCGCUAUGAGCCCUCUGGUGAUGCCUUAUACCUGUCUGUGGUUCGUCAGGAGCAUGCUCUUCAGCAGGGUGACUCUACUGUUGAUGACUUUUAUGCACAGAGUUCUGCUAUCUGGCGCCAGCUUGAUUCUCUCCGCAGUGCUGGUUGUCGUACUUGUCCCUGCUGCCAGGCUGUCUAGGCCGAUUUGGAGUUUCAUCGCGUCUACGAGUUCCUGUCUCGGCUCCGUAAGGAGUUUGAGCCCCGGCGUGCUCAGUUGCUUGCUCGUGGCCGUAUUUCUCUCAUGGAGGCGCUUUCAGAGAUUCGUGCUGAGGAGACUCGCCUACGUGGUGCUGGUUUGCUAG
rnacentral:rRNA from 1 species